ensembl:lncRNA
GUAAGACCAGUCUCUUACUUAGUGUUGUAGAUAAGCAAAUGGAGAGAAGCUGUGGUGUACCCAUGGCCUUGGGAGGUUGUGUGGGUAAAAAUAGUUGAACACCAGUAUCCUAAGCCUCUGUUUUAGCAAAUUUGCUACACCGUCUGAGGUGUUUGUUUAGAGUUUUGAAUAGCUCAAUACCAAGGUAGAGAACCACUAGCCUUGACUUUGAGUGUCAGCAUGCUUCAGCCUGUCCUGGCUUAAAGCCAUUUAGACACAUUCCUGGUGCACUCUGUGUAAUUUCAGCCUGAUGGAAAAGGCUGUAAUGCAGUUCCACCUCUGCUGAUCUUCAGGAUUCCCCUGUCUGCAGCUUCUCAUGGUUGCUUUGAACGUGAGUUAUGUUUCCCAUUAAAGGAUAACAGCGACAAUUGAUGCAAUUAAGUGGAGUGGCAUGAAGCUAGCAGAACACAGGGAGUUUUCCGACUGAAAAUAGGCAGCACAGCUCAGAGGUUUUCCCUGCAAGGUUGCCUGUUUGCUGUUUUCAGUUGUCUGGAAAAGGAUCCAGUAAUUCCGCUUCGAAUUUCCCUUACUUGUUCCACUUGCCUGUUUUCUUGCCUAAAUAGGAAGUGUUCCUGUUCAGUUUAGAAUGACAGCUCUACAAUAACUGUGGUCUAAUAUUAAUGCAGCUUGGUCAUGGUUUCAUUAAGUCUAUGAACUUGAAUCAGUGCUAAGUGCUUGGCUGUGUGAACAAGAGAGAUGGCAGUUAAGAUGAGCGGGGGGGAGAGGGGCAGAAUGAAUUAUCUACAAAGAGAAAUAAUAUGUGUUGUGACCAUUUCUGCAGAAUUAUAAAAAAAAAUACUAUAGAAGAUUAUGAUAUUGUCUGUUGGAUUUUUAGCCUAAACAUCAGUUGGUGAAGGAUUGGACAAAGACAAAAGCUGGACCAUUUGACAGGCAGACGUGAAGAGCUUGGGAUAUACAGAACCAUUUUACAGGAAGAAAGAAUUGUUUCUCAUUAAAACCGCCUGAACUUUGCCCUGCCUCAAAGUCCUAUUUUCCAGCAGGUAAGGAACGCGUUAACCUGGGUGCUGUAGCCACAUCUCCCAGCAAGAAAUGUUGCCGUGUGUUUUAAACAACUUCUCUAAAGCUAGUGGGAAAAUGUAGCUUCAACAAAAGGUGGUGGACUUCUCAGCUGUGGAGGUAACGGGGAGACCUUUUAGUUCUUUGGCAAUAUUAAGGCCAGGAGCGAUUUCUGAUGUAAACCCAUACAAGCGGGAUUUUACUGAAACCGGCUUUAUUCUCUCAAUAGUCAGAGCUUUGCCAGCAUCUGGAGAAUCUGUCUUUGAGUGCUUGGGGAGGGAAGGAAUUUUUCUUCUGCAAGUGAGAGGAAUGGAUAAGCUUGCAACAGCACCUGCGUUAUCCGUUUCUCUGUGAGAUGAAAAACAGCCCUGCUGCAGCUGAACCGAGCUGGUGCUCCCGGCCAGCUGAUGGAAAGCUCGGCUGCUCUCAGUGGGUUGCUGGUGUUUGCUGGGUACCUCCUCAGCUCUGCCUGUGCAGGGGGCACGUUCUGGUAUACAUCUGGACGUGGGGGUUCGAGCUUUUACCCGAUCUGCUUCUGCCAGUGCUGUGGAAUUUUCCCCACAUUAGGCUGAGGUAAGAGACGUGGCAACGGGUGUGUGCUGAGAACCUCUGGGGCUGAGAAGAGUUCUGCCCUGGGUGGAGGGGGAGGCCAAGCCCAGGGGUUCAGCCUGCCCACAGCCCGGCGAGUCCCCAUGUGGGCUGGUG